GACGUAGGGCGCGAGCGUUGUCCGGAUUUAUUGGGCGUAAAGAGCUCGUAGGCGGCUUGUCGCGUCGAAUGUGAAAUCUCAGGGCUCAACUCUGACAUUGCAUUCGAUACGGGCAGGCUCGAGUUCGGUAGGGGAGACUGGAAUUCCUGGUGUAGCGGUGAAAUGCGCAGAUAUCAGGAGGAACACCGGUGGCGAAGGCGGGUCUCUGGACAUUUCCUGACGCUGAGGCACGAAAGCCAGGGGAGCAAACGGG
rnacentral:rRNA from 1 species